UACGAAGGUCCCAAGCGUUAUCCGGAUUUAUUGGGUUUAAAGGGUGCGUAGGCGGGCUAUUAAGUCAGUGGUGAAAGCCCCAAGCUUAACUUGGGAACUGCCAUUGAUACUGAUGGUCUUGAGUACAUUUGAGGUGGGCGGAAUGUGUCAUGUAGCGGUGAAAUGCUUAGAUAUGACACAGAACACCGAUAGCGAAGGCAGCUCACUAGACUAAUAUUGACGCUCAUGCACGAAAGCGUGGGGAGCGAACAGG
rnacentral:rRNA from 1 species